rnacentral:rRNA from 1 species
UACGGAGGGUGCGAGCGUUGUUCGGAAUUACUGGGCGUAAAGGGCUCGUAGGCGGCCAACUAAGUCAGACGUGAAAUCCCUCGGCUUAACCGGGGAACUGCGUCUGAUACUGGAUGGCUUGAGUUCGGGAGAGGGAUGCGGAAUUCCAGGUGUAGCGGUGAAAUGCGUAGAUAUCUGGAGGAACACCGGUGGCGAAGGCGGCAUCCUGGACCGAUACUGACGCUGAGGAGCGAAAGCCAGGGGAGCAAACGGG